AGACAUGGCUCACAAUAAGAAAACAUUGCUCACGAAUUAAGAAAAUGAUUUCAAACAAGUUUUCAGUUAUUAGGGAACUGUUCUUGGUUUUCAUUCUUCUUCUGGCUUCGGCAGGGGCAUCAAGAGAAGUGCUAAACGUCCAGAAUCGUAAGGCCUAUGAUGUUAUGGAGCAUCGGAAGCUAGCUGACAGGGCUCAACCACCUGUAGGGGGCAAUCCGAUUAAUGGCACUGAGUCCAGAUCAUGAGAUGACCGAAGAGAAUCGUGGCAAGCUCCAAAUCAACUAUGAUAUAAUAAUUAAUUACCGUUCUUGGUAUCUUGUAUUAGAUGGUGUCCUUCCUAUAUAUAUAAUCAAUAGAACAUAUUGUUGUGUAACAAGUAGGAGAUAUCUCAGCAGUCGGAGCAACCCUUGUUCUCUUCACAAUGAUCUUACAAAUAAUUGGGUCACUUGUGCCGAGUUGGUA